rnacentral:lncRNA from 1 species
UUUCCUUUACUUGUGCUCAUGUUCAAUCAUAUGUUAUUUGAAGAUCUUAUGCACAUGGUUGGUGCCAUAAAUAUUUUAGGUUUGUUGUUUUUGUGAGAUAUGUCAGUAGUAAGGUGAACAAUAUGAACUGGAAUGAAUUUUGUCUAUGGUUUGGUUUGGUUUCCACUUUUUGAUUUGGGUUUCCACUUUUGGUUUUGUAUUGGUGGUUGAUGCCAAAAUUUUAUUUCAAGCUUGUGAAUUGUGACGGCAAAAUUCUCAAUGACGUAAUUCCAUCAUUUUCGUCAAAAUUCUACUUCUCAGGUAAGUAACGGGUGGCCCUAACUUGUUAUUAAAUAUAUUGAAAAUGUUUUAAGCCUUGUCGGCUUAUAUAAUUGUGGCAUUGUCGGCUUAUAUGAUUGGUUAUUGUAGGAUCAAUUGCACAGGUGCACAUAAUAACUAUAUUGAAAAUUUUAAUUGUGAAAUGAUUGAGAUAUUUUGUGAAAAGAAGUUUCUCCAAUUAAAGUUGAUCAAGGCUUAUCUCCGAUCAACUAUGUCGCAAGAAAAAUUGAACAGAUUAGCUAUAUUAUCAAUACAGAAAGAAAUGGUUCAAUAACUAAAUUAUUCAGAUUUGAUUAAUAUUUUUGCCUCUACUCUAAAACAGCAAGACAAAUAGUACUUAAAUGAUUAUUUGAAACGUUGUUAGUUUUGUUAUUUUAUAAUAUAAAUCUUUUGAAUAAUAUAUUUAUUUGUUGUUUUACUAUUAAGUUAGUGAUAUGUUGUAUAAUACACAAUACGUUUUGUUGGAUUUUGCAUUUAAGUUGAUUUUGGGGGAUCUAAUUUUUUAAAUUCGCCUCAGGCCCCAAAAAUCACAGGACCGGCACUAUAUAUAUAUAUAUAUAUAUAUAUACACCAAAUGGGGGGGGUAUGCUGUUUUAAGAUGGCUGUUUAACUUUUAAUAGCUUUAAUCCUACUCAAUACUCUCCUUAGUUUUCUAUAAAUCUUUCUUAAGAAUCAUGUAUAAAUCCCUCUUUCUUUUUUCAUCAUUUAAAUUUUCACCACCUAUGACAUAUAAACUUGAACCUGAUUUCUUUUUAUAAGGUUACCCGUGGCACUCCCUUAUAAAAUUCUUAGAUUAAUUUUUUCCCUUUCCCCAGCAUCUCUAGAAAACAUCAAAAAGGCUCACUCCGGCCAAAAUUUUCAUUCAUCUGGGUCACUCGGGAUUAAUCUAAAAAUAGUAUGACUUCUAGAAAUCAAGUUAUGCUUUUAUUAUAUGCAUAGGAUGAAAUGAUAAACAUAACAAAUAUUUACUUGAAAUAUAAAAACAUGAACAAAAUAUUAAAACAUGAAUCAGGGAUUUAUAAAUUCAUCUUUUAAAAAAAUUUACAACUAAGGAUUUCCCUUUCGGGAAGUCCCUAAAAUUCUAAAAUAAACUUAAAUAAAUACAAAAAUACCUUAAGUAUUCACAAGGAUGAUUCAGCUAUACAAUGAUUUUUUGGAUUGAGAAUUUUUCUGAGAAAGGUUUCAAAAGGUUUUUGGAUAGCAGAGAGUACACAGGUUGUAAACUUCUGCCUAAACCAAAUGAAACUUGUUCCUUAAAUAGAAAAAUUUUUGGGAACAAAAAGUCUAAAAUAUCCUUAAAAAGAGCACACGUUUCACCGAGAAACUUCUGGCUAAUUCAAGAUAAGUCUAACAAGUGGAAAGAAAAUUUCCUACUUUUACAAAAGUCUAAAAGUCUAUAGUUUAGGAAUCUUGAAAUUUCCACUAAUUUGCGUAAAAUUCUAAAAGUUUCUGACAUCUUUUUUGAAAAUAAUCAAAAGGUCUAUAGUAUUGUGAUAAGAAUCUUCAACUUUUCUUCCAUCACUUUUGUCUUGUUCUGCAUUAUUGAGGAUCUGAUUAUGUACUGAGAUUAUGACGUGCCACUGAUGAAAAUGACAUUCCACUAUCUGAAUUAUUGUAUCCUUCUUCAUGUGGAUCUUCGUCUUCAUCUGAAAGUCUGGAGUUACUGGCUUCAUCUUUUUCUUUCUGAUCUGGACAUUCUGCAAUUUCUUUUUCUUCUUCAUGGCUCUUUUUUAAUAUUGUCUCGAAUGCUUGGUUAACUGCUUCUCUUAUUUGUUCUUUUAGUCCUUCAUCAUUUUUCUUCUUCUUAAUCUUUUUCUUUUUUCUAGAAGAAGUCCCUUCAUCUUUUUUAGAUUGUUUUUG